rnacentral:tRNA from 1 species
GGCCGCAUGGCGCAACGGUAGCGCGUCAGAUUCCAGUUCCAAGGUUCUCUGUUCGAAUCAGGGUGUGGUCA